rnacentral:rRNA from 1 species
GAUGAACGCUGGCGGCGUGCCUAACACAUGCAAGUCGAGCGAACGGACGCGAAGCUUGCUUCACUGACGUCAGCGGGGGACGGGAGAGUAACACGUGGAUCACCUCCCUACAAGAUUGGGCCAACUUAGGGAAACCGGAGCCAAUAACGGCCAAUUUCUUCAACCGCAUGGUUCAAAAGUGUCAGACGGUCUUGCUGUAACUCAUAGCUGGACCCCUGCUGCAUUAGCUAGCUGGUAAGGUAACGGCUUACCAAGACCCGGAUGCAUAGCCGACCUGACAGAGUGAUCGGCCACACUAGAGCGGGGACACGGUCAAGACGCCUACGGGAGGCAGCAGUAUGGAACCGUCCGCAGUGGGCGGGAACCUGACGGAGCAGCGCCGCGUGUGAGAUGAAGGUCUUCGGAGCGUAAAACUCGGUUAUUAGGGAAAAACAUAUGUGUAAGGAACUGUGCACAUCGUGACGGUACCUGAACAGAAAGCCACGGCUAACUACGUG